AAGUCGUAACAAGGUCUCCGUUGGUGAACCAGCGGAGGGAUCAUUACCAAUUUUAUUAUAUUAGUUUGGGUAGGUCUGUCUUCGGAGAGGCGUUACUCACAACUACUAUGUAAAUGUUGAACUAGAUCAAUCAGUGUGGAUUGCUUGGGAAAGGCGAUGAUGUAACUAUAUUAUAUCUCCGGACAGGCAAGCCCCACACUGGUAACCCUUUUCAAUUAUACAAUUCGUACAUACUACAAAUACAAACAAAUUCUAUUAAUAGGACUUAUUAAUGGGCUGAGUGGGUAAAAUCCUCGGCUCUAUAAAUUUAUAACAAAAUACAACUUUCAGCAAUGGAUCUCUAGGCUCUC
rnacentral:misc_RNA from 1 species